rnacentral:tRNA from 1 species
GGCAGGAUGGCGGAGUGGUCUAUCGCGCUAGACUCAAGAUCUUUGUUGUCUUACACUGAGUUGCACUUAGUGUUCUAGUCCUCGAACGAGGGCGGGGGUUCGAAUCCCCCUCCUGUCA